GACCAGACUCCUACGGGAGGCAGCAGUGGGGAAUAUUGCACAAUGGGGGGAACCCUGAUGCAGCGACGCCGCGUGGGUGAAGAAGCGCCUCGGCGCGUAAAGCCCUGUCAGCAGGGAAGAAAAUGACGGUACCUGAAGAAGAAGCCCCGGCUAACUACGUGCCAGCAGCCGCGGUAAUACGUAGGGGGCAAGCGUUAUCCGGAUUUACUGGGUGUAAAGGGAGCGUAGACGGCGGCGCAAGUCCGGAGUGAAAGCCCGGGGCUCAACCCUGGGACUGCUCUGGAAACUGUAAAGCUGGAGUGCGGGAGGGGCAGGCGGAAUUCCUGGUGUAGCGGUGAAAUGCGUAGAUAUCAGGAGGAACACCGGCGGCGAAGGCGGCCUGCUGGACCGUAACUGACGUUGAGGCUCGAAAGCGUGGGGAGCAAACAGGAUUAGAUACCCCAGUAGA
rnacentral:rRNA from 1 species